GUGGGGAAUCUUGCGCAAUGGGCGAAAGCCUGACGCAGCCAUGCCGCGUGAAUGAUGAAGGUCUUAGGAUUGUAAAAUUCUUUCACCGGGGAAGAUAAUGACGGUACCCGGAGAAGAAGCCCCGGCUAACUUCGUGCCAGCAGCCGCGGUAAUACGAAGGGGGCUAGCGUUGCUCGGAAUUACUGGGCGUAAAGGGCGCGUAGGCGGACAUUUAAGUCAGAGGUGAAAGUCCAGGGCUCAACCUUGGAAUUGCCUUUGAUACUGGAUGUCUUGAGUUCGGGAGAGGUGAGUGGAAUGCCGAGUGUAGAGGUGAAAUUCGUAGAUAUUCGGCGGAACACCAGUGGCGAAGGCGACUCACUGGCCCGAUACUGACGCUGAGGCGCGAAAGCGUGGGGAGCAAACAGGAUUAGAUACCCUAGUAGUCC
rnacentral:rRNA from 1 species